rnacentral:rRNA from 1 species
UGGGGAAUAUUGGACAAUGGGGGAAACCCUGAUCCAGCAAUGCCGCGUGAGUGAAGAAGGCCUUAGGGUUGUAAAGCUCUUUCGCCCGCGAAGAUAAUGACGGUAGCGGGAGAAGAGGCCCCGGCUAACUCCGUGCCAGCAGCCGCGGUAAUACGGAGGGGGCAAGCGUUAAUCGGAAUUACUGGGCGUAAAGCGUGCGCAGGCGGUUGUGCAAGACAGAUGUGAAAUCCCCGGGCUUAACCUGGGAACUGCAUUUGUGACUGCACGGCUAGAGUACGGCAGAGGGGGAUGGAAUUCCGCGUGUUGCAGUGAAAUGCGUAGAUAUGCGGAGGAACACCGAUGGCGAAGGCAGUCCCCUGGGCCUGUACUGACGCUCAUGCACGAAAGCGUGGGGAGCAAACA